UACAGAGGGGGCAAGCGUUGUUCGGAAUUACUGGGCGUAAAGGGCGCGUAGGCGGCCUGCUAAGUCGAACGUGAAAUCCCUGGGCUCAACCCAGGAACUGCGUCCGAUACUGGUUGGCUUGAAUCCGGGAGAGGGAUGUGGAAUUCCAGGUGUAGCGGUGAAAUGCGUAGAUAUCUGGAGGAACACCGGUGGCGAAGGCGGAUCUCUGGGCCAUUACUGACGCUGAGGAGCGAAAGCGUGGGGAGCGAACAGG
rnacentral:rRNA from 1 species